rnacentral:rRNA from 1 species
UACAUGGGGUGCGAACGUUGCUCGGAAUCAUUGGGCGUAAAGCGCGCGUAGGCGGUUACUUAUGUCGGAUGUGAAAGCCCUCGGCUUAACUGAGGAAGUGCAUUCGAAACUGGGUAGCUAGAGUACUAAAGAGGGUCGCGGAAUUCCCGGUGUAGAGGUGAAAUUCGUAGAUAUCGGGAGGAACACCGGUGGCGAAGGCGGCGACCUGGGUAGAUACUGACGCUGAGGCGCGAAAGCGUGGGGAGCAAACAGG